rnacentral:rRNA from 1 species
UACGAAGGGGGCUAGCGUUGCUCGGAAUCACUGGGCGUAAAGCGCACGUAGGCGGAUCUUUAAGUCAGGGGUGAAAUCCUGGAGCUCAACUCCAGAACUGCCUUUGAUACUGGGGAUCUCGAGUCCGGGAGAGGUGAGUGGAACUGCGAGUGUAGAGGUGAAAUUCGUAGAUAUUCGCAAGAACACCGGUGGCGAAGGCGGGUCUCUGGGCCGAUACUGACGCUGAGGAGCGAAAGCGUGGGGAGCGAACAGG